UACGGGGGGGGUAAGCGUUGUUCGGAAUUACUGGGCGUAAAGGGCUCGUAGGCGGCCAACUAAGUCAUACGUGAAAUCCCUCAGCUUAACUGGGGAACUGCGUGUGAUACUGGAUGGCUUGGAUUUGGGAGAGGGAUGCGGAAUUCCAGGUGUAGCGGUGAAAUGCGUAGAUAUCUGGAGGAACACCCAUGGCGAAGGCAGCUCUCUGGCUUCACCCUGACGCUGAGGCGCGAAAGCGUGGGGAGCGAACGGG
rnacentral:rRNA from 1 species